rnacentral:rRNA from 1 species
CCUACGGGAGGCAGCAGUAAGGAAUAUUGGUCAAUGGACGAAAGUCUGAACCAGCCAUGCCGCGUGAAGGAUUAAGGCCCUCUGGGUUGUAAACUUCUUUUAUCUGGGACGAAAAAAGGGUAUUCUUACUCACUUGACGGUACCAGAGGAAUAAGCACCGGCUAACUCCGUGCCAGCAGCCGCGGUAAUACGGAGGGUGCAAGCGUUAUCCGGAUUUACUGGGUUUAAAGGGUGCGUAGGUGGGCUUGUAAGUCAGUGGUGAAAUCUCCGGGCUUAACCCGGAAACUGCCAUUGAUACUAUAGGUCUUGAAUUAUCUGGAGGUAAGCGGAAUAUGUCAUGUAGCGGUGAAAUGCUUAGAUAUGACAUAGAACACCAAUUGCGAAGGCAGCUUACUACGGAUAUAUUGACACUGAGGCACGAAAGCGUGGGGAUCAAACAGGAUUAGAUACCCUGGUAGUCCACGCCCUAAACGAUGGAUACUCGACAUCAGCGAUACACUGUUGGUGUCUGAGNGAAGANAUAGUAUCCACCNGGAGAGANCGCAGAUAGAACUACAAGAAGUAGUAGCGUGAGAGAGACGACGACGACGACGACGGAGGAGGAGG